ACAGAAUGACUUCCUUCUGGGCUACAUCGAUAAGACUUUCGUCAAGUCCAAGCCGCUUGGUGUGUUGGAUCAGAUGCAUCUCAACAAGACCAUUGGUUGUGAUGACCAAUGGAAGGAUCAGAGUGGAGAUAACUAUGUCUGGUCGGUUGUGUGAAAUUGGCCUAUCAGUAAUCAGUGGAUGAUCCCAGUAUAGCUUCAGGUUUGCAUUCUCUAGUAGUGUUUGUGCAAGUGCCUGGUGGUAAACUUUUGCCAUGGCAUUGUGGCGAUCCGUGUAUUCUCUGGGAGCGAGGGUCGAACAGGAUGAAGUAAUGUGUUGGAUUGUUUCCACGGAUUGUGAGCAUUUGCGACAUAGAUCUGUUGGUAAGUUUUUUCGUGCUAUGUUUUUCAGGUAGGCUCUCGUAGGUAUCACUUGGUCCUGGAUGGCUGCCAG